UUUUGGGAAGAGAGAGAGUGACAGAUCAAGGAAAAAUCGGGAAAGCCCGAUCUCUCUUCUUCCUCUUCCCUCCUCACGCGCAGAGUGACCGGAGAAGACAAUCCGGCAGAUCCGUCGCCGUCGAGCCACCCCAGGUCGUCCCACCGGUCGGAAAGCUUCCUCUCUUCCUCCUCUUUCAUCUAAGCUUGAUUUGACCGGAGGAAGCAAGAUUGACAAUGAACAGUGGUGUGAACAGUAACUGACGAAUUCUUGAUUUUGGGGUUAAAUUUCCGGCUAUUUGUGCUUGAAAUUGGUUGUUGUUGCAGGUAUAGAAAUUGUUGGGCUUGUUGUGGAGAUUGUGUAGGUAUAAAUUUCUUGGCCGGUUAGGGGUGUUGGAGUGGUGGCGCGUGGAGGCUUUGUCAGUCCUUUAGGAAAGCUUUAUGCUAGUUUUUGAAAUAUAUUUAGUGUUGGGAACCCUUGA